rnacentral:rRNA from 1 species
GCUCAGUAACACGUGGAGAACGUGCCCUUAAGUGGGGGAUAAUCUCGGGAAAUUGAGGAUAAUACCCCAUAGAUCAUGGCAUCUGGAAUGAGUCAUGGUUGAAAGUUCCGGCGCUUAAGGAUCGCUCUGCGGCCUAUCAGGUAGUAGUGGGUGUAAGGUACCCCCUAGCCUACGACGGGUAUGGGCCUUGAGAGAGGGAGCCCAGAGUUGGAUUCUGAGACACGAAUCCAGGCCCUACGGGGCGCAGCAGUCGCGAAAACUUCACACUGGGGGGAACCCCGAUGAGGGAAAUCCUAGUGCUAGGACAUUUGUUCUAGCUUUUCUCAAGCGUAGAUAACUUGAGGAAUAAGGGCUGGGUAAGACGGGUGCCAGCCGCCGCGGUAAUACCUGCAGCCCGAGUGGUGGUCGAUUUUAUUGAGUCUAAAGCGUUCGUAGCCGGUCCGUUAAAUCCUUGGGUAAAUCGGGAAGCUCAACUUUCCGACUUCCGAGGAGACUGGCGGACUUGGGACCGGGAGAGGCCAGAGGUACUUCUGGGGUAGGGGUAAAAUCCUGUAAUCCUAGAAGGACCACCGGUGGCGAAGGCGUCUGGCUAGAACGGAUCCGACGGUGAGGGACGAAGCCCUGGGUCGCAAACGGGAUUAGAUACCCCGGUAGUCCAGGGUGUAAACGCUGCCGACUUGGUGUUGGGGGCCCUUCGGGGGAACUCAGUGCCGGAGAGAAGUUGUUAAGUCGGCCACUUGGGGAGUACGUCCGCAAGGAUGAAACUUAAAGGAAUUGGCGGGGGAGCAC